UACAGAGGUCUCAAGCGUUGUUCGGAUUCAUUGGGCGUAAAGGGUGCGUAGGUGGCGGGGUAAGUCAGGUGUGAAAUCUCGGGGCUCAACCCCGAAACUGCACUUGAUACUGCCUUGCUCGAGUACUGGAGAGGAGAUUGGAAUUUACGGUGUAGCAGUGAAAUGCGUAGAGAUCAUGAGGAAGACCAGUGGCGAAGGCGGGUCUCUGGACAGUUCCUGACACUGAGACACGAAGGCCAGGGGAGCAAACGGG
rnacentral:rRNA from 1 species